rnacentral:rRNA from 1 species
UACGAAGGUGGCGAAUGAUACUCGGAUUUACUGGGCGUAAAGCGUCCGCAGGUGGUUUAUCAAGUCAGGUGUGAAAUCCCCGUGCUCAACAUGGGAACUGCAUUUGAAACUGAUUCACUAGAAGAUAGGAGAGGUAGGUAGAAUUCUCGGUGUAGAGGUGAAAUUCGUAGAUAUCGAGAGGAAUACUCAUGGCGAAGGCAGCCUACUGGCCUAUACUUGACACUCAUGGACGAAAGCGUGGGGAGCAAACAGG